ensembl:lncRNA
GAGAACCUGAUAAAAUCUUGCUACUCAAAGUGUGGUCCCUGGACCAACUGCAUUGCUAUCACCUAGAAGCUGGUUAAGAAUAAGGCUUCAUUAUGACUUCAAUGGGCCAUAGGUGCUUUCGGCUUCGUGGGCCCUUCCUCCAUAAAGAAAAUUGGAAAGCAGAGCUCACUCUUGUCCUGGCAUGAAUAUCUAUCAUGAAGCUGUCAUGAUAUCCUGUCCUGAAAUGAGAUGAGAAAAGUUAUCUGAUCCCUGGAGACUGAAAUGAAUAACGGUGCUGCUGGUUUCCAUCAGCAGGGCCAGCAGCGGAGGCUGAGAGGGGCCCAGCUCAGCUGGUCUUUAAUUCAGUGCAGAGCAUCUUGGACAUCGAGAAGGCAGCAAUAAGAAGCUCGCCGGCCACUGUGUACACACAGGAGCAUGGAGCAUAAUGGAGUGACACCGGCUACCCUCUCCUUAGCUGACUUCAAGAGACUAAAGAAAAUUUAAGACUCAAGAGUCUCCACAUGAUUGAGAAGUCAGAGAGGUGUAUGGGGAAGUCCUCUUGCCUGGAAGCCAGAUAACCUGGAUUCACUUCCAAGUUUACCCCUGACUUCCUUGUGAAGACAUGGCGAGAAGUUGGUCAUCUACCAGCCAGGAAGAGAGCCCUCACCAAGAACCCAAGCAUGCUGGUACCCUAAUCUCAGCCUUCCAGCCUCCAGAACUAUUUUUUUCCACCACUUUGGCAGGAGUGAGAUAUCCGGCAAAGAGGGGGCCCAGCAAGGGAAGUGGGCUCCUUGUGCCUGAUAGCACUCCCCAUGGGGAAGGUCAAGGAGACCUUCAUUUCACUUCAUUUCAGCCAUCUGCAGUCUACAUCCAACCUCACAUUUCCUGUCUCCGAAGAGUCUCACCAGAUCCUAAGUUGGCCAGGCCUCGAGAAAACUGAGAAACCACACUGUCUUGGUCCAAAGAAAUGGAGACACAGGGCCUACAUUUUUCUCUUCCAUUAACAUUCAAGUAUUUUAAUGAACACCAGAUUUUACUAUUGGUUCCUAGGGGAGGAUAUUUGAGUUUUCUGUGGCUCACUUUAUUUUUAAUAUUUAAAAAUCUUUUCCCUCAAUGAGGCAUAACCAUAAUUGCAUUUGUAAGAAGUGGGCUGUAUGUAUUUGGUUAUAAAUGUGGUGGCAAGAAUUAACUUCGUGUUCCUUUUGUAAGGUGCUUUUCUCUUUCUUUUCUUUCUUUUUUAAUUUAUCAAGACCGGAAGGUUUUUAAGUCAACCCAGAUCUGUAAUGAGUGAAUACCACUUCACGAUAACUUAUAAGAAGCCAUCUAAGCAGGUUUAUAUAAAGGAAAACUCCUCUGCAAUAGAAAGGGUAUUCAGAUUGCUCCAUCUAACCACAAAGAAGAGCCAAUCAUCCCCAAAGUAUAAAGUGGUUUAAAAACAGGGAAUUGAGAACUAAAUUUGAAGCUGACAUCUUGACAGUCUCAUGACCUAGUUUUGGGCACAAAGCUAUACAAGAGUGACAAAUGAGGGAAAAAAGAAGGAGAGGCAAAUGGAAGGAGCCAGAGGAAAAGAAGAAAAAAAGAAAGAGGAUGAUGGUGGAGUGAUGAGAAGAAAAGGCAUCAAAAAACAAUUAAGAAUGAAAUACUAUAACAGAAUAUAGCCGACUGACCAACUUAAAGCUGUUGUUUGGCAAUUUUCCUGUGUGUUGGUGAGCCGAAAUCUACAUGUCAUCAACCAAUUGGAUUGGAUGAAAUCCAAAGAAUGAACUAUUAGAAACAAAAUUUGGUUGGUCGCUGUUUGGGAUGUGAAAUGGUUUUGUAAGCAUUUCAGCUUGAUGCCCAGGCAGGCAGUCACAAUAAUUCUUCUCCAAAUAAAUGAGGACUACUAUUUUUUUAUUCAUUACUUCAAUAAGAAAAGUUUAACCAGUGAAAGGAUUUGCAAAACACUGCAUCAUAAAAAUCCUAAAGUCAAUCACAACAGAAGUUAGUGCUCUGUAAAUAUUUUUGCAAAGGUUUGGACGAUCUUUUCUUCCUAUAAAUACUUGUCUACCCAGUAAAGGAAAUGAAAAGUCAAAAGAGAAAAAUGUGUUGUCUCAUUUAUAGUUUGGAACAGCAAAUAUUAUUGAAUUCAGCAGAACUUUUAUUGUGUGCUUUGUGAGUUAUACAUAAGGUGGAAAAGUGGAGUACAUUUCAAGCCAACAUAUUAAGCAACAUAGAAGUGACUUCUGUAAUUAAAUCAUUUUUUAAUCAUCAAAAUUGAAAAUAAGAGAAAACAACUUCUGAAGUCCAGGGUCAAUCAGCUAAAUAAACUCAAGUCAUUCAGUCAACUAGCAUUGAUUGGAUUUCAGCAAGAUGAAAUCGACUUUGCUCCAACUCCACCCACUUCACAAACUAAUUAAAAAAGUACAUCAGCGACAUCUUCAAUCAGCUCAGGAAGAUAAGUGGGCUUCAAAGUAAUCAACUACAAAACUCUGUCAAGAAUAGCAAUAGAUCCUCAAAGAACUUUGGGGAGCUUUCUCAAAGUUAUUCACGUCAAUCAGAAGAACAAAAACUCAGAGCCAUGUGAUUGUAAUUUUAGGGGACCUUUUUGGACAAUGUGGCUGACUUAUAAGAAAGAAAACCACACACCAGCAGGGCAUAUAUUAGCAUCCAAGAUCUCACUCAACUUCAGUCCACCUAAAUUCCCAUCAAGCAAGAGUAACAACAAUGCUUGGAUCAGAAGGGCUUGAAGGGUCAUUGGACAAAUCAUUUAAAAUGUCUAGAAAUGUACAAGCUCCUAUGGUCCUCAAAUGGAACAGAGGAUUAUUAGAUUACCCUUUGCAAGGAACCCUGGCUGCAGAUCAGUAAAAGGCUUUGCAUUGUGAGUGUCUCAUUCUCUUUACUGUCCAAAACACCGUAGAACAUUUUGUUCAUUUUUGAAUAGAGGAAUGAAUAAAAGAAGCACUUUGAGUUCAUUCAAGGACAAAGAAAUUUUUUUAUUCUUUCUAUGUAUUUCCAUUCUCAAAGUCCUGGAAGUCUAAUUUCUUAAUGAAAGAUAUCCAUCUAUUCAAGGGUCUGCUUUAUUGACAAUCCUAGGUAAAAGAUUCAGGAAAAAAACUGAAAAUGAAAAUUUCUUCCUUUAACUCUUGGAUGACAAAAAAACGAGGAAUAAGAAAGGAAGGAGGGAAAAAAGAAAGAAAAGACACUGAAUAACACAGGAGACUAUGCAUGUCUAGUAUGGCAUUAAGUUUUCUGUUUGAUCCUAUUGGUCUUCAGUGAUAACACCUCUUUCUCUCUCUCUCUCUCUCUCUCUCCCUCUCUCUCUCUCCCUCUCUUUUUCUUUUUCUAGUGUCUGUUUCAUUUAUGGCCCAAGUCUCUGUUCAGAAUUAUUGUUACUUUAUAUGUGUG